GAUGAACGCUGGCGGCGUGCCUAAUACAUGCAAGUCGAGCGAAUGGAUUAAGAGCUUGCUCUUAUGAAGUUAGCGGCGGACGGGUGAGUAACACGUGGGAACGUACCCCAAAGUGAGGAAUAGCUGCCCGAAAGGGUAGCUAAUGCCGCAUAUGGUCUUCGGAUUAAAGGAUUUAUCCGCUUUGGGAACGGCCUGCGUACGAUUAGAUAGUUGGUGAGGUAAUGGCUCACCAAGCCAACGAUCGUUAACUGGUCUGAGAGGAUGAUCAGUCAGACUGGAACUGAGACACGGCCCAGACUCCUACGGGAGGCAGCAGUGGGGAAUAUUGCACAAUGGGCGCAAGCCUGAUGCAGCGACGCCGCGUGAGGGAUGACGGCCUUCGGGUUGUAAACCUCUUUCAGCACCGACGAAGCGCAAGUGACGGUAGGUGCAGAAGAAGGACCGGCCAACUACGUGCCAGCAGCCGCCGUAA
rnacentral:rRNA from 1 species